rnacentral:lncRNA from 1 species
CCCCAAGAACACUGUACCUCAUCCAACCUUGUUACCAUGAACCGAAGUGUUAUCUUCCUCCUCUGCAACACCCUGCUAGCUUUGACUAGGGCUCAAGCACCCUCACCACCCACAACCACCAGCUGUCGCUGCCCACAAGUUAAUAAGAGUAUCUCCAGCCUAAAACCUUUUGAGAAACUUGAUGUGAUUCUCCCCAGUUCUCUAUGUCCACGCCCUGAGAUCGUAGGCAUAGUGAAGGAUACCAAGGAACAAGUAUGUCUGAAUUCAGAUACCCCAACCAUGAAGGUUGUACUGAAAACAAUUAGAAGGACAAGGUCUUAAACAUCUCCUGUCAACAACUGAAGACACAUACUCUGCAUGUGGUUGGCAAGGUUUAACCAGGAUGAAGCCCUCCCACAUAUACAGAGAAAAGUCAAGCCCCAACUGUUUCUAGUGCUUAAUUCUUCUAAAAAAAAAUAAUCACCAAUCACAAAAAAAUUGACUGGCUACUUUAAAAAAAAAAAUCUGUUUAGCAACAGAAACUCUAGUACUGUAAUUCCUGAUCUUGUGUUGUUUUUAAGUGAGUGAUAUUUAAGUCAUUUUAAAUAGAGGGUUACCUAACUUGACAUUCUUUCAGAGAUUUGUUGGACCUCCUAAAUGGUUCUGUCUAUAGUUAAAGAUUGUCACUGGCAGAUGAUGCUACAAGAAAAUACAGGCCUGAAAGCAAAAAGUCACAUCAGGUAUUUACUACUUAAAUCCAUUUCAAAGAAUAGUUAUUUUACUGAGUACACUUGAGGACCAUACUACCAGAAAGCACCAUACGGUAGCAAAAGUCUUUAAUGACCGACAGAGCUAGGGUUCAGAACAUCUGAGAGACUGUGACCUACUAGGCUAGAGAUUCUCAACCUGGGGUACAUGCACUCAGUGGGGUACAAGACACUUAUCAAGGGAUUCUGGAUAGUAUUUUGAGUAAAUCCUGGGGUUCUCAAUCUGGGGUACACUGCACCCAAGUGGGUACAAGUUAUUUGUCAUGGGAUUCUGGGUAAAUGAACUAUAUUACCCUAUGGAGAUAUUCCAAAAUCAGUAAUGUUAGAGAAAAACAAUUUGUGGAUUGGAGAGAGAACCUUGAGAAAUGGGUAGGAAAAGAAAGAGUGUUGUGGUACAUCUGAAAAAUUUGAAAGAGACAGUUGAAGCACUAAUUCCUACUGACCAAACCCAAAUGAAUGAAAUCUGGCUUUUCAUAUCAAAUUAGAAAAAUAAAUCAGUGAUAACCCAGUGAAAAGCA